GUGGCUCAGCGGUAGAGUGCUUGCCUUGCAUGCAUGAGGUCCUGGGUUCGAUUCCUCAGC
rnacentral:tRNA from 1 species